UACGUAGGGUGCAAGCGUUGUCCGGAAUUAUUGGGCGUAAAGAGCUCGUAGGCGGUCUGUUGCGUCGGCUGUGAAAACCCGGGGCUCAACUCCGGGCCUGCAGCCGAUACGGGCAGACUAGAGUUCGGCAGGGGAGACUGGAAUUCCGGGUGUAGCGGUGGAAUGCGUAGAGAUCCGGAAGAACACCGGUGGCGAAGGCGGUCUGCUGGGGUCGAACUGACGCUGAGGCGCGACAGCGUGGGGAGCAAACAGG
rnacentral:rRNA from 1 species